rnacentral:rRNA from 1 species
UGACGAGUUUGAUCCUGGCUCAGAUUGAACGCUGGCGGAAUGCUUUACACAUGCAAGUCGAACGGUAGAGGGGGCAAACCCCUCGAGAGUGGCGAACGGGUGAGUAAUAUAUCGGAACGUGCCCAGUCGUGGGGGAUAACGUAGCGAAAGUUACGCUAAUACCGCAUACGAUCUAAGGAUGAAAGCGGGGGAUCGCAAGACCUCGCGCGAUUGGAGCGGCCGAUAUCAGUAUUAGGUAGUUGGUGGGGUAAAGGCUCACCAAGCCAACGAUCGUGUA